AUUGGAGGGCAAGUCUGGUGCCAGCAGCCGCGGUAAUUCCAGCUCCAAUAGCGUAUAUUAAAGUUGUUGCGGUUAAAAAGCUCGUAGUUGGAGGUCAGUUGCGGACUGGGUCGGGAGGUCACCGCCCGGUGCUUCCCCUUCAGGUUCCGAACAGCUUCCCCUUGUGGGGGGCCAAGCCGGCUGAUGCGGGGUGCUCUUGACCGAGUGUGCCGCGUGGCCGGCCAGUUCACCUUGAAUAAAUGAGAGUGCUCAAAGCAGGCUACUCUGGAAUACAAUGCCCGAAUGUUAACUGCAUGGAAUGAUGGAAGAUGAUCUCGGUUCCAUUUUGUUGGUGGUGGGAGCCCGAGGUAAUGAUAAAGAGGGACUGUCGGGGGCAUCCGUACUACGACGCGAGAGGUGAAAUUCAGUGACCGUCGUAGGACGAACAACAGCGAAAGCAUUUGCCAAGAAUGUCUUCGUUGAUCAAGAACGAAAGUUAGAGGAUCGAAGGCGAUCAGAUACCGCCCUAGUUCUAACCCUAAACGAUGCUGACUAGCAAUUCGCCGUCGUUAUUCCCAUGACGUGGCGAGACGCCCCCGGGAAACCUCAAGUGUUUGAGUUCCGGGGGUAGUAUGGUUGCAAAAGUGAAACUUAAAGGAAUUGACGGAAGGGCACCACCMGGAGUGGAGCCUGCGGCUUAAUUUGACUCAACACGGGGAACCUGACCAGGCCCGGACACCAGAAGGAUUGACAGAUUAAGAGCUCUUUCUCGAUUU
rnacentral:rRNA from 1 species